rnacentral:rRNA from 1 species
GCAAGCGUUGUCCGGAUUUAUUGGGCGUAAAGAGCGUGUAGGCGGCCUGCCCGGUCUGCUGUGAAAACUCGAGGCUCAACCUCGAGAUGUCGGCGGAAACCGUCUGGCUAGAGUCCGGAAGAGGAGAGUGGAAUUCCUGGUGUAGCGGUGAAAUGCGCAGAUAUCAGGAGGAACACCGAUGGCGAAGGCAGGUCUCUGGGCCACUACUGACGCUGAGAAGCGAAAGCGUGGGGAGCGAACAGG